rnacentral:lncRNA from 1 species
GGGACAGUGAUCUAAGAAUGUAAUUUGUAUUCUUCUCUGUGGCCUGGGAGACGUUUCCAAAACACGGCUCUGGCUUCUUGUGAGGACCAAAUGAACGCAUCUAUGGAGAGCUCUUAGCGCAGGGCCUGGCUAACGGAGGUGCAGCUCUGGAACCCUCCAGGAUGCCGCUGGGCCACCGUGGACAGCCCUGUCACCCUGAGAGGUCUCGUCUUCUCUCUCCCUCAUCAUCUAAGAGUUUAUAACAAUGUGCACUGAGCUCCAACUAUAUGGUAGGCAUGGUGCUAAGCGUUUUACAGGUAUGACCUCAUUUAACCAUCACAACGACCAGGUGAGGUCACUGCUGUCAUCCCACUUGACAGGAAGAAAGCUGAGGCUCCAAGGGAUCCAGGACCCAGCGAGGAGGGCGCAGAGUCGGUUCAAGCCCAGGCUCGGAUGCAUCCUUAGUUACACUCUGUCUCUGGGCUCACUCUCUGCUGUUCUCCUCCCAGAUGUGGUCUUGGUGGGAGCUGAGCUGUGGCCCAGGAGCCCCUCCCUGGGCUGUGGGAGGGGAUGUGCAGAAGGAGGAGAGAAUGACACAUAUUUGGAACCCAGGCACGAACCAGGGAGGCUGGAAGUCCUCUCAAGGCUGGCGCGUAGCCUUUCCUGCACCACCACCAUCUCCUCCUCCCCAACAACACCCUCUCAAUCAAGUGCAUUUGCUCCUGCUCUACCACAGGCCUCUGCGCAGGCUGCUUUCCUUCCGGGACAGCUAAAGGGUGGCCCAGUGUUUUGUUGGUUCGAAUCCCGGGCAUGGACAUGGCACUGCUCUUCAAGCCACACUGAGGCAGCGUCCCACAUGCCACAACUAGAAGGACCCACAACUAAGAAUAUACAACUAUAUACCAGGGGGCUUUGGGGAGAAAAAGGAAAAAAAUAAAAUCUUA